rnacentral:rRNA from 1 species
UACGUAGGGAGCAAGCGUUGUCCGGAAUCAUUGGGCGUAAAGCGCGCGUAGGUGGCUUCGUAAGUCCGUUGUGAAAGUCAAAGGCUCAACCUUUGAAAGCCGGUGGAUACUGGUCGGGCUAGAGUCCGGAAGAGGCGAGUGGAAUUCCGUGGUGUAGCGGUGGAAUGCGCAGAUAUCAGGAGGAACACCGAUGGCGAAGGCAGCUCGCUGGGACGGUACUGACGCUGAGGCGCGAAAGCGUGGGGAGCGAACAGG